GAUGAACGCUAGCGGCAGGCUUAAUACAUGCAAGUCGAGGGGGCAGCAAUGUCACCGGCGAACGGGUGCGUAACGCGUAUGCAACCUACCUACAUCAGGGGGAUAGCCCUAGGAAACUGGGAUUAACACCGCAUAACAAUAGAGUUGGCAUCAACUUUAUUUGAAAUAUUUAUAGGAUGUAGAUGGGCAUGCGUAGGAUUAGCUAGUUGGUAAGGUAACGGCUUACCAAGGCUACGAUCCUUAGGGGCUCUGAGAGGAGUAUCCCCCACACUGGCACUGAGAUACGGGCCAGACUCCUACGGGAGGCAGCAGUAGGGAAUAUUGGGCAAUGGAGGCAACUCUGACCCAGCCAUGCCGCGUGCAGGAAGACGGUCCUCUGGAUUGUAAACUGCUUUUGAAUGGGAAGAAUGUGCUCCUUGCGAGGGGUAAUGACGGUACCAUUAGAAUAAGCCACGGCUAACUACGUGCCAGCAGCCGCGGUAAUACGUAGGUGGCGAGCGUUAUCCGGAUUUAUUGGGUUUAAAGGGUGCGUAGGCGGCUUAAUAAGUCGGUGGUUAAAAGUAGCAGCUUAACUGUUUUACAUGCCAUC
rnacentral:rRNA from 1 species